UUUAUAUUUCCCUUGUGUCACGAUCGCAUGUAAUUAUUAUAUGUUAUAUCAUGUGUUGUGGUGUUAUUGGUUAUGUUUAAUAUUUUAUGUGUAACACGUGGGUGCUAAGCUCAGGUAAGUUCACUAGAGAACGGAAGUGCACGUGCCGGGGGUGAGGAUUCGUCACACAGGUAACAUACGCGAGACGUGUACAUGUUGUAAUGGCGAUGUGCUAAACAUUACCUGUGUCAGACACAUUCCAUGGAUUCAGGCACAGAAUACAGACUGUGCUUUCCAUGACGGAUUGAUAUUCCUGCACCUAUCAGGACCCUGUCUGCAUAGACGACUUGGGCUUCAGGACCAAUUUUGAUAUGAGGUUAGCCACAGGAGGGAUUUUGUGGACUGUACGGAAGGGUCAGGGUGCCAGAAACGUUAAUCAGUGUGUCGACCGACAGGAGCAACCAGCUCUGAGUGGGGACUAGCGGACUAGUCAAGUCACAUGUUGGUGCCCUGACAACUGGGACAACGCUAUUAAAGUCUAGUUACCUGCGGGUAAUUUACGGAAACACUGUGUGUUUACCUACGUCGUAGCAGACGUAGCUUCUCGGGACCUGAACUGUGCUGCGGUACAGAACUGUUCCGGGUGAUCUGUGCUGCGGUACAGUAGUGUUGUGGGUGAUCUGUUCGGGUAGAACAGAUGGUGUGCUGUCGACCAGACGUUGAUUUAUGGAACAUUGUUUUUGAGGACACUUUACUUUAGAAGACUGUGGUCCUGAUGAACUGUACUAUUAUGAUUAGAGGGUGCAUGGGUUGAGAGUGAGUGUGAUAGUGAGUACUAGUGAAUUUGCAUUUAAUAAAUUGUAUAUAUUUUCAUGA